rnacentral:rRNA from 1 species
UGGGGAAUAUUGCACAAUGGGCGAAAGCCUGAUGCAGCAACGCCGCGUGAGUGAUGAAGGUCUUCGGAUUGUAAAGCUCUGUCUUUUGGGACGAUAAUGACGGUACCAAAGGAGGAAGCCACGGCUAACUACGUGCCAGCAGCCGCGGUAAUACGUAGGUGGCGAGCGUUGUCCGGAUUUACUGGGCGUAAAGGGUGCGUAGGCGGAUGUUUAAGUGAGAUGUGAAAUACCCGGGCUUAACUUGGGUGCUGCAUUUCAAACUGGAUAUCUAGAGUGCAGGAGAGGAGAAUGGAAUUCCUAGUGUAGCGGUGAAAUGCGUAGAGAUUAGGAAGAACACCAGUGGCGAAGGCGAUUCUCUGGACUGUAACUGACGCUGAGGCACGAAAGCGUGGGUAGCAAACAGGAUUAGAUACCCUGGUAGUCCACGCCGUAAACGAUGAGUACUAGGUGUAGGA